UUGCUUCCACACCACAUAUGCUAAACCUUGAACAAUUACAGAGAUUAGCAUGGCCUCUGCACAAGGAUGACAUGCAGAUCUGUGAAGUGUUCCAUACAAAA
ensembl:snRNA U6 U6 spliceosomal RNA